UUUGGAACUUUCUUGGCUCCAGAAACACAAUCCUGUUAUUGACUGGACCACGAGCUCCAUCCUGGGUUGGAGCCCGUUUUGUCAUUCUCAUUGCCUAAAAGCAGCACAGCCGUCCUUGAGACGUUCCCCUCAGGACGUAAGCAAAGCCACAGAUGUCUCUGCUGUCCCCACUGAGUACCAUGACCUCCUGGAGGUCUUCAGUAAGGCACGGGCUACUUCUCUUCCCCCGCACAGCACUUAUGAUUGUGCCAUUGAUCUCCUCCCAGGCACCACACCACCUCGUGGUCGGCUAUAUUCUCUAUCCCGCCCGGAAACCAAGGCCAUGGAGGAGUACAUUGAGGAUUCUCCGGCUACUGGAGGCAUUCGUCCAUCUACAUCUCCUGCCGGCGCGGGGUUUUUCUUCGUGGAGAAGGACAAGACCCUGCGUCCGUGCAUUGACUACCAGGGUCUGAAUGAUAUAACAAUCAAGAAUCGUUACACCCUACCACUCCUCUCCUCAGCUUUUGAACCUCUACAGGGGGCCACCAUUUUUUCCAAACUGGACCUUUGGAAUGCCUACCACCUGGUUCGGAUACGCGAAGGCGAUGAGUGGAAGACAGCCUUUAACACAGCCAGUGGACAUUAUGAAUACCAGGUCAUGAUGUUUGGACUCACAAGGCUCCAGGCUCUGGUAAACGAUAUGCUCCGGGACGUGCUAAACCGGUUCGUGUUCGUCUACCUUGACAACAUCCUGUUUUUCUUUCCGGUCUGCCCAAGAACACAUCCUUCAUGUCAGACAAGUCCUUCAGCGCCUCCUGGAGAAACAAUUGUUUGUGAAAGCAGAAAAGUGAGUUCCACCGCUCUACAAUCUCCUUUCUGGGAUAUGUCAUCGCUAAUGGAAAUGUUCAAAUGGAUCCGGAAAAAGUGAAAGCAGUGGUAGAGUGGCCUCAACCUACUUCCAGGGUACAGUUACAAUGUUUCCUGGGGUUCGCUAACUUCUACCGCCGUUUCAUUACAGUACCCUGGCGGCCCCCCUCUCUGCACUCGCCUCUCCCAAAGUACCGUUCACAUGGUCUCCAGCGGUCGACAGGGUGCCUGUCACAUCGGUCAAGCCUUCGUGGACCUGAAGCAUCGGUUUCAUCACAGCACCCAUCUUUGUCCACCCAGAUCCGUCCCGUCAAUUUGUGGUAGAGGUUGAUGCUUCUGAUGUUGGAGUGGGGGCCAUCCUGUCCCAGCGAUCUGCCCAGGACUAGAAGCUCCAUCCCUGUGCUUUCCUGUCCCAUCGUCUCAAUCCUGCAGAGAGGAACUACGACGUAGGCAACCGAGAACUCCUGGCAGUCAAGAUGGCGCUGGAAGCAUGGACGCAUUGGCUGGAAGGAGCAGAACAGCCAUUCUUGGUUUGGACCGAUCAUGAAAAUUUGGAAUAUCUCCAUAUAGCCAAGCGCCUUAACUCCAGGCAGGCCCGGUGGGCUUUAUUGUUCAUAAGAUUCAACUUCACCAUUUCCUACCGCCCAGCGUCCAAAAAUGUGAAGCCUGACACCCGUUGCCGCCUAUACAGUUCCGCUGCCACACCCUCGGUUUCCGAAACCAUUCUCCCUACCUCAUGCCUUGCAGCUUCAGUGGAUUAGGGUAUUGAAACCUUGGUCCGCAAGGCACAACGUUCCCAGCCUGAACCGGCUAACCGGUUGUUUGUCCCCAACUCAGUCCGGUCCUGGGUCCUGGAAUGGGCUCAUUUCUCCAGGCUGACCUGUCAUCCAGGUUCCCGUCGUACCCUAGCCUUCCUCCGACAACGUUUCUGGUGGCCCACAAUGGUUCCUGGCAUCUGCCUUCAUCGCGGCGUGCACAUUGUGUGCUCAGAACAAGACAUCCUUCAGCCACUGCCUGUCCCUCAUCGUCCCUGGUCCCAUAUCUCUCUGGACUUUGUCACUGGGCUUCCCCCGUCUGAUGGCAACACCGUCAUUCUGACAGUAGUGGAUCGGUUCUCCAAGGCCAUCCAUUUCAUCCCUCUCUCCAAAUUACCCUCUGCCAAGGAGACGGCCCAGCUUAUGGUGCAGCACAUCUUCCAGAUCCAUGGACUCCCGUUGGACAUGGUCUCCCACCGGGGUCCUCAGUUCUCAUCUGGAAGGCGUUCUUGAUAAUUCUCUUAUCUAAUAAAGGUAAAUGAAUCAAUAAACCAUGAUGAAUUAUUAGUCAUACAGCAUGGUUAAUGAAUAAUCAAUGUAAUGAUCAAUGUAGUGAUCGAUUGGUCUGAUUAGUCCCAGAAAGUCCAGGAACCACUGGAGAGGGAAAGAAAUGUGUGUAUGUAAUUAGUGUAGAGAGCAGGGGACAGAUGGUAAAGGGAGUAAAACUUCAAAAGGUUCCUAACCUUGAGGGAAAGGAACAGGCUGAGCUAGGUAGUGAUAAACAGUGUGGGAAGUCAAUGGGGGAUGCAGGUCACCAACAGUUUGUGUGUAAAUGCAUGUGCGUAAGUAAGCAAGAACUAUAAAAUGACUUUUGUUAUCCUGACCUCAGAACGUUCUCUGAAUAAAGCUACAGAAACCUUUUGCAGAAGGCUGAGUCCUUGCCUAAUUAUUUAACCCAUUGUCUUACAAACCUUGGGAAUUAGUCAAGGCGAAUUGAUUAUUGAUUAUAAUCAUCAAGAUAUCAAAUUAUUCUAACAGUUCUGCACCCUUAUUGGGUCAUCGGUCACCCUGUCUUGCGGAUUCCAUCCCCAAUCCAACAGCCAGUCGGAGCAAGCUAACCAGGACCUAGAAACCACCCUAUGAUGCCUGGUCUCAACCAACCCCACUACCUGGAGCCGACAACUGGUCUGGGUGGAGGAUGCCUGGAACACCCUUCCCUUUUCAGCCACGGAAUUCUCCCCAUAUGAGUGCUCUAUGGGGUAUCAACCUCCACUCUUCCCAGAACAAGAGGUCAACGUACCCUCGGCCCAGAUUUUUGUCCGCCGCUGUUGGCGUACCUGGAGAAGAGCAGACCAACUCCAGGUAUCGUCGAUAAGCGGACUGCCACCGGACUCCAGCUCCCCGCUACUGCAUUGGGCAGAGGGUAUAGCUUUCAACUCGGGACCUGCCCCUUUGGGUGGAGUCCUGCAAACUGUCCCCCUGUUUCAUUGGUCCUUUUCCCAUCUCCAGGGUCCUUAGUUCCACAGCUGUCCGUCUUGUGUUACCCCGUACCCGCCGUAUUCACCCUACUUUCCAUGUGUCUAGGAUUAAGCCCGUGUCUCAUAGCCCUUUGUCUUCUGUCUCUGUGUCAUCGAUGGCCAUCCUGUAUGCACGGUGAAACGCCUCCUGGGUGUUCGACCACGGGGCAGGGGUUUCCAGUACCUGGUUGACCAGGAGGGUUACGGCCCAGAGAAGAGGUGCUGGGUUCCCGCUAGAGACAUCCUGGACCUGCUUCCCAUCGCCAACUUUCACCGCUGACAUCCCAGUCAGCCAGGUAUGCGCCCAGGUGUCUGACCUCUCGCCUGCCUAUUGCCUGGUACUGUUUGGACUCUGACCUGGUUUAUGAACUCUCGCCUGACCUGCCUUUUGCUUUCCCCUUUUGGUAUAAUAAAUAUCAGAGCAUAACCAUCUGACUCCUGUGUCUGCAUUUGGGUCUCUCCUUGUGCCCAUAUACUGUUUUUUAGAUAAGUGAAACCCAAUCUUUCAUGAAUAAGUUAAUCUAAAUCCUUUUGUUUUGCAUAUAGAUUAUUCAAUGCUUCUUUAGUACAUUUAUCAACAUGAUGUGUAAUGUUAGAUUUUCUGUUGUAAGUCUUUUCUCUGUUGACCGAUAUUUUUGUAUUUGAGAUGAAAAUUGUAUUGAAUGGCCUUUAAAAAGGUACAUAUAGGCAUCCCAUACGAUAAUUGGGUCUGCUGAACAUGUAUUGUGCAAGAAUUUCUAUGAAUUCCUUCGUUUUUGUUAAGAAAGAACUGUCAUUCAAUAAACCCUGGUUCAAUUUACAAUAUCCCUGUCCUUGUGGAAA
rnacentral:lncRNA from 1 species